UACGUAGGGGGCAAGCGUUGUCCGGAUUUAUUGGGCGUAAAGAGCUCGUAGGCGGUCUGUCGCGUCGGCUGUGAAAACCCGGGGCUCAACUCCGGGCCUGCAGUCGAUACGGGCUGGCUUGAGUGCGGUAGGGGAGACUGGAAUUCCUGGUGUAGCGGUGAAAUGCGCAGAUAUCAGGAGGAACACCGGUGGCGAAGGCGGGUCUCUGGGCCGUAACUGACGCUGAGGAGCGAAAGCGUGGGGAGCGAACAGG
rnacentral:rRNA from 1 species